AAGGUUUUCAAAGGUUAUGAAAAACCCCAAUUCUUCCUCAAACUCAUGGGUUCUUGCAUUAAAUGGUUUCAAACAAUCUAUUAUGAUUAUAUUAUGGUUUAAUUGAUGUUUUUAGGUGAAAAACUCCAUGGACCCAUGAUCUCCUUAAAUCUCUAAGUUUGGCUUAUGAAGUGGGUUUUAUGAUAAUGCUUGGGUAUUGAUGGAAUUGUACUUAGAUUGAAUUGUAUUAUUGAUUCCUAUUGUUAUCUAUAUCUAUUGUUGGUGGAUUGUUGGUGUAUGGAUGAGUUGAGAAUUAUGGCCUUGUAGGCAAGUCAUGGGUAAAUUCUCUUGUGAUGUUAGAAUUGUUGAGAAUUGGAUAAUGGUGAUUAUGGCUUUGGAGAAUGUGUAGGGAUUUGGAAAUGAUGACAUGUCAUGGCUAUUUGAUAGGUUUCUAAGUGUUGAAGAUGAAGACUUGGUGAGUCCUCAUAGAUUCGAGGACAAUACCCAAUAUGUUCUUUUAUGUCUUUUUUGUAUUGUUUAAGUUAUGUACGGGAUUAGUCCCGAAUUUUGUACUCUAAAGUAUUAGAUGGUUAUGAGACAUCAUGUAUAAAGUCUAGAAAGUCUUCCGCUUGCUAUAUUU